rnacentral:rRNA from 1 species
CCUACGGGAGGCUGCAGUGAGGAAUAUUGGUCAAUGGGCGGGAGCCUGAACCAGCCAAGUCGCGUGAGGGAUGACGGCCCUAUGGGUUGUAAACCUCUUUUGCCGGGGAGCAAAGUGCCGCACGUGUGCGGUUUGGAGAGUACCCGGAGAAAAAGCAUCGGCUAACUCCGUGCCAGCAGCCGCGGUAAUACGGAGGAUCCGAGCGUUAUCCGGAUUUAUUGGGUUUAAAGGGAGCGUAGGUGGAUUGUUAAGUCAGUUGUGAAAGUUUGCGGCUCAACCGUAAAAUUGCAGUUGAAACUGGCAGUCUUGAGUACAGUAGAGGUGGGCGGAAUUCGUGGUGUAGCGGUGAAAUGCUUAGAUAUCACGAAGAACCCCGAUUGCGAAGGCAGCUUACUAAACUGUGACUGACAUUGAUGCUCGAAAGUGUGGGUAUCAAACAGGAUUAGAUACCCGAGUAGUC